AGUGAACGCUGGCGGUAGGCCUAACACAUGCAAGUCGAACGGCAGCACAGUAAGAGCUUGCUCUUACGGGUGGCGAGUGGCGGACGGGUGAGGAAUACAUCGGAAUUUACUUUUUCGUGGGGGAUAACGUAGGGAAACUUACGCGAAUACCGCAUACGACCUACGGGUGAAAGCAGGGGAUCUUCGGACCUUGCGCGAUUGAAUGAGCCGAUGUCGGAUUAGCUAGUUGGCGGGGUAAAGGCCCACCAAGGCGACGAUCCGUAGCUGGUCUGAGAGGAUGAUCAGCCACACUGGAACUGAGACACGGUCCAGACUCCUACGGGAGGCAGCAGUGGGGAAUAUUGGACAAUGGGCGCAAGCCUGAUCCAGCCAUACCGCGUGGGUGAAGAAGGCCUUCGGGUUGUAAAGCCCUUUUGUUGGGAAAGAAAAGCAGCAGGUUAAUACCCCGCUGUUCUGACGGUACCCAAAGAAUAAGCACCGGCUAACUUCGUG
rnacentral:rRNA from 1 species